GCUUGGGCCAUGGCUUCAGAAGGUGUAAGCCCCAAGCCUUGGUGUGAUGUUAAGCCUGCAAAUGUGCAGAAGUCAACAACUUUAGUGUGGAAACCUUAACCUACAUUGCUGAAUUAAUGAAUACCUUGAUGACGGAAUGUAACUGAAACUUCUGUUUUUUUCAUGUAAAAGAGAUAUUUUUGAUUAAGCAAAGUGUUAUUUAAUGUUGAGAAAAAAACCCUAUGAAGAAAACUAAAUUGUUCACAAACAUACUUGUUCAGGUGGCUACCUAAAUACCUGCAAUGGUGAGCUGGAAGAUUAUCAGCUAUAUGCAUUGAGUUAAUGAGACUACCUCUCUCUCUCUCUUUUCUUUCUCACUCUCUCCUGCUCAUUGAAUAAAAUUAACAUUUACAAAAGAAUCUCUCUUGUAAGCACUUCUGUCACUAACUCAAUCUCACUCUUUACUGCCUUUUACCUGAACAAUCAUUGUCCCCAAUUAUAUUUGUCUGUUAAUUUAUUCACUUCUUCACCCCUUUUUCCUUCUACUCAUUUAAGUCAUCUAUCAAAUGUCAAUAAUUAUAGCUUUCUUGAGGAUCUUAAUACUCACUUGCUAACCACAACAACAUCACCCUGAUGUGAUUCUGCUAUGUUUUGCACUAUAAUACCUGAAGAAGAGAAGGCUUUGCUUAGGGUUAAUUCAUUCAUUAAUUCAGCCUGUCAUACCAUUUAUUCAACAAAUAUUUAGUGAACACCUACUAUAGGCAAGAAUAACAUUGGGUGUUGUGGACAAAUCAAUGAGCAAAAGUUGAUCUUCUGUGUGUUGUGUAGAUGGAUUUAAACUGGUAACUAUAAUAACAAUGCAGUAGUAUAUAGAGUUGUUCAUUGCCAUCUAUGUGCUCCGAAAUCCCCACAAGUCCCCAAAUCCCUGGAUGUUUAAGUCCUUGAUAUAAAACGGUACAGUAUUUGCAUACAACCUAUGUGCAUCCUCCCAUAUACAUUACAUCAUCUCUGGAUUAUUUAUAAUACCUAAUAUAAUGUAAAUGCUGGGUGAAUAGUUAUUAUACUGUAUUGUUAAAAUAUGUAAUAGUUU